GAUGAACGCUAGCGAUAGGCUUAACACAUGCAAGUCGAGGGGCAGCGAGGGUAGCAAUACCUGUCGGCGACCGGCGCACGGGUGAGUAACGCGUAUGUAACCUGCCCGCAACAGGGGGAUAACCCGGCGAAAGUCGGACUAAUACCGCAUAAAACAGGGGUCCCGCCUGGGAAUAUUUGUUAAAGAUUUAUCGGUUGCGGAUGGGCAUGCGUACCAUUAGGUAGUUGGUGAGGUAACGGCUCACCAAGCCUUCGAUGGUUAGGGGUUCUGAGAGGAAGGUCCCCCACACUGGUACUGAGACACGGACCAGACUCCUACGGGAGGCAGCAGUGAGGAAUAGUGGUCAAUGGGCGAGAGCCUGAACCAGCCAAGUCGCGUGAAGGAUGACUGCCCUAUGGGUUGUAAACUUCUUUUACAAGGGAAUAAAAUGAGAUACGUGUAUUUUAUUGCAUGUACCUUGGGAAUAAGCAUCGGCUAACUCCGUG
rnacentral:rRNA from 1 species